rnacentral:tRNA from 1 species
GCCGGGGUGGUGAAAUUGGUAGACGCAGAGGACUCAAAAUCCUCCGAGGGUAACUUCAUGCGAGUUCGAUUCUCGCCCCCGGCACCA